UCAUCUGCUUAACCCCUCGAAAUUAAUUACAAAAAAUCCGCUUUUCGGAGGUGGAAUCUUUUCCAGAACCAGGAUCAAGCCUAUUCAUUCAAGACAAAAUAGAACUAAUUGUAUGGUGUAGAUAUCAGCCAUAACGGUAUGCAUUUUUUUUCUAUUCGUGGUUGUUGCGACGAAGUCCACCGUCAAAUAUUACCGCAACGACUCACUGUCCACCUGAUGUCAACGGAAUCGAGAGACGCGACGCUCUAGCUGCCAACUGAUUGCAGGACAGUAGUUGUGACCAUGAAGUGCUUAGCAAAUCGUUUAACAUGCUAAACUAAUUUAUUUAAUCUAUUUGCUUCCUAAAACGUGUUCCAAAACAUAUACUUAUGUAAGAUGCGCAUAUUUAUAUUUUCUCAAUUUAUUGUAAAUUAAUAUUGGUCAUCUAGGUUGUUCGCCACAAACCCUGAAAUCAUUGACCCACAUUCCUUGCCAUCAACAACGGCGCACUAAAAAUUGUAAGAACUACCGACUAAGAAUUAACUAUGAAUAUUGCUAAUAAAUCUAUUUCCUACAGCUUGAAGCUGGCCAUAUUGAAAUUGCCUGCUGUCGAGAUUUAGUGAUUCCGAAGAACCUCAUUCUUAUCCCAACAAACUUCAAGAAUUUUUAAUUUGAGGUUAGGGAAUGUUGGAUGAUCAUCACUUUACGGGUAAUGAAGUUCCCGGCCAUAAACUCCGCCCUUCUUGCUACGUCACGACUCUCGGAGGGCAAGUGCAUAUAAACAUCGUCGACCUCCUGACGACCGAAGUUCGCUCCGAAAUCCAACGAGAUGAAUACGCCGCCACUUCUCCGCACCGUGUCGUGUCCAGUAGGCGAGCUCUCCUCAAGGAGAAAUUAAGAACGAUCGAGGCAGAACAAUUACGACAGGAGCAAGAAAUUGAACGGAGGCUUGAAGCCAAGCAGCGCGAAUUCGACGAGGCUAUGCACCGGAUAAAAGAGAGAAGGAGGCAAAUUGAAGAAGAAACCGCUGUUCGACUUCUCCAGUUGCAGAUUUGCAAAUCCACCUCCAUCGCCGAAUCGAAGCAACGUCAAUCGUCGUGUAAUUCUCCGACCCCGCAAAAGUUUGUUCCACAACCACACUAUCUUCCCCCAAUAGUUGCGCUAGGAACAGAUGAACUUUCGUCAUCCCCUCAACUUCCCCCAGGAACUGGGCGUCGAGGACGAGAUGACGAAUUCAUUCGAAUGGAUUCCCAGCAACAGAAAUCCCGGAAUGAGUUGCCUCUGGUCAAGCGCAUCCUCCAAGAUCCGUCCUGCAUCAACAGUAGCCACACGUCUUUGACCUUUCCUGGCCGCUCAGAUGUGAAUUUUCGACCGCCCAGCGUACCGCACGUUCUCGAGACUCUGCGUACGUCAUUCUACAGCUCCAGAUACUUGUAUUCAGCCGUGCAUCAACGACACCUUUCCGAAACGCUGCGCAAAUGGCCGGCAGGAGCUGAAUUCUGCAAUUGGACUAGUCGUGCUAAAAAACAAAUCCACCACUCGAUGACAACAAACGCCCGAUCGCUCAAGCAGACUCCACUGAAUGCAGCUAGCUCAUCGACCCAACACCGUGACACAAAGCUCCUCACACUAUAUCCCAUUGCCUUCGAUGAUACUGGGCAGCAGUGGUUUGUUAUUGUGUUUCGCUAUUGUGACGAUCGCAAUCAGUCUGUAAGAAGUAAGCACCAAACCCACACAUAUUUCGGUUUACAUUUGUAUUGGUUUAACACUUGGGGUUUGAUAACACGGACUGAUCAUGCAAACGCGACUAGCUUGAGGCAGGUGAUCGAUCUUCUCUCGGAGGGUAAACAACAUCCCUGCGUAGCCAUACGAAAUCAGGUCAUCGUUAUCUUCGGUGGAAUGGGCCGUAACCGGAGGAGUCCAGUCGGCAGCAGUAAAGGGACCUGGCGAAGUGGACGUCGUGGGAACUGCUUCACGGACAUCGCAGCUGAAAAUGCCAUCGAACGCGCAUCCCAAAGCUCGAGAUUAGACCAUUCUGUAUUGCAGCUCAACAAUGCCUUUGAACCUUCCGCAAGAUCGCAACCCAUGCAUUCGAAUGAAUGUGUAGCAUUGUCCCCUGAUGAACAACGAUCUGGUGGUGUUGGACAUCCGACGGUAGAUCAAGGUGUGACGGUGACUUUCCGGAGAGCAGCAACCUUGGCUGUUUUGGACGUCUUGGGAGAUAGUAAACCUACGAUUGCAACUUUGCCAACACUCGGUUCACGGGUGGGGGUAUGUUGCGACGAAGUCCACCGUCAAAUAUUACCGCAACGACUCACUGUCCACCUGAUGUCAACGGAAUCGAGAGACGCGACGCUCUAGCUGCCAACUGAUUGCAGGACAGUAGUUGUGACCAUGAAGUGCUUAGCAAAUCGUUUAACAUGCUAAACUAAUUUAUUUAAUCUAUUUGCUUCCUAAAACGUGUUCCAAAACAUAUACUUAUGUUGUUCGCCACAAACCCUGAAAUCAUUGACCCACAUUCCUUGCCAUCAACAACGGCGCACUAAAAAUUCUUGAAGCUGGCCAUAUUGAAAUUGCCUGCUGUCGAGAUUUAGUGAUUCCGAAGAACCUCAUUCUUAUCCCAACAGUGGUUUUCCCUGGAAAAAGAAAGAAAG
rnacentral:misc_RNA from 1 species